AGCUUACCACGCACAACUCUUCGUUGCCCAGUGCCUGGAAUUUACAAAAUUAAACCUGUAGUCACAAGCCAGGCAUACGAAGACAAUGAACGUUACUUAUCUAUAAUUGCUGAUAUCAAUUGUUUCCUGUGGUAUAUGUAUCUUUACCAGGAAGCAGAAGACAGCUUUGAUCAGAAAGGCCUCUCAAAUCAACAGGAUAUAAUUGCAUGGAUAAUUGAUCCAGAAAAUUCAGACAGUUCUGAACUGAAUUAUACUGCAACUUCACCAUCAGCAUAUUCUCAGGUACUUAGCAAGCAGUUUUGGAAUUUGGGACAGAGACCUGUUAUUCGGACGUCUUUUCAGAGGAUCGAAUAUGCAGCAACUGCUUUUCCAGAACAGGG